rnacentral:rRNA from 1 species
UGAGUACAGUGGCGUACGGGUGAGUAACACGUGGAUGAUCUACCCUGGAGUGGGGAAUAACGCUGGGAAACCGGCGCUAAUACCGCAUAAUCCCGAGAGGGCAAAGGGGCAAUUCGCUUCAGGAGGAGUCCGCGGCCGAUUAGCUUGUUGCAGGGUAAAAGCCUACCAAGGCAACGAUCGGUAGCCGGCCUGAGAGGGCACACGGCCACACUGGCACUGAAACACGGGCCAG